CUUUCCCUCUGGCGGCAUGCUUUACACAUGCAAGUCGAACGGCAGCGCGGGCUUCGGCCUGGCGGCGAGUGGCGAACGGGUGAGUAAUGCAUCGGAACGUGCCCAGUAGUGGGGGAUAGCCCGGCGAAAGCCGGAUUAAUACCGCAUACGACCUGAGGGUGAAAGCGGGGGACCGAAAGGCCUCGCGCUAUUGGAGCGGCCGAUGUCGGAUUAGCUAGGUGGUGGGGUAAAGGCUUACCAAGGCGACGAUCCGUAGCUGGUCUGAGAGGACGACCAGCCACACUGGGACUGAGACACGGCCCAGACUCCUACGGGAGGCAGCAGUGGGGAAUUUUGGACAAUGGGGGCAACCCUGAUCCAGCCAUGCCGCGUGCGGGAAGAAGGCCUUCGGGUUGUAAACCGCUUUUGUUCGGGAAGAAAUCCUCUGGGCUAAUACCCCGGGGGGAUGACGGUACCGGAAGAAUAAGCACCGGCUAACUACGUG
rnacentral:rRNA from 1 species